UACAGAGGAUGCAAGCGUUUAAUCCGGAAUGAUUGGGCGUAAAGCGUCUGUAGGUGGCUUUUUAAGUCCGCCGUCAAAUCCCAGGGCUCAACUCUGGACAGGCGGUGGAAACUACCAAGCUGGAGUACGGUAGGGGCAGAGGGAAUUCCGGUGGAGCGGUGAAAUGCGUAGAGAUCGGAAAGAACACCAACGGCGAAGCACUCUGCUGGGCCGACACUGACACUGAGAGACGGAAAGCUAGGGGAGCGAAUGGG
rnacentral:rRNA from 1 species